rnacentral:tRNA from 2 species
GCCGGAAUAGCUCAGUUGGUAGAGCAGAGGACUGAAAAUCCUCGUGUCACCAGC